rnacentral:rRNA from 1 species
CCUACGGGAGGCAGCAGUGAGGAAUAUUGGUCAAUGGGCGCGAGCCUGAACCAGCCAAGUCGCGUGAGGGAAGACGGUCCUAUGGAUUGUAAACCUCUUUUGUCGGGGAGCAACAGACGCCACGCGUGGCGUUCCGAGAGUACCCGAAGAAAAAGAAUCGGCUAACUCCGUGCCCGCCGCCGCGGUAAUACGGAGGAUGCGAACGUUAUCCGGAUUUAUUGGGUUUAAGGGGUGCGCAGGCGGACGAUCAAUGCAGCGGGAAAAUGGCGGUGCUCAACCUCUUCGAGCCGUUGAAACGUGUGUUCUUGAGUGAGUGAGAAGUAUGCGGAAUGCGUGGUGUAGCGGUGAAAUGCAUAGAUAUCACGCAGAACUCCGAUUGCGAAGGCAGCAUACCGGCGCUCAACUGACGCUCAUGCACGAAAGUGUGGGUAUCGAACAGGAUUAGAUACCCUUGUAGUC